rnacentral:rRNA from 1 species
UGAGGUGCUUGCACCUUAUCUUAGCGGCGGACGGGUGAGUAAUGCUUAGGAAUCUGCCAUUUAGUGGGGGACAACAUUCCGAAAGGAAUGCUAAUACCGCAUACGUCCUACGGGAGAAAGCAGGGGAUCUUCGGACCUUGCGCUAAAUGAUGAGCCUAAGUCGGAUUAGCUAGUUGGUGGGGUAAAGGCCUACCAAGGCGACGAUCUGUAGCGGGUCUGAGAGGAUGAUCCGCCACACUGGGACUGAGACACGGCCCAGACUCCUACGGGAGGCAGCAGUGGGGAAUAUUGGACAAUGGGCGGAAGCCUGAUCCAGCCAUGCCGCGUGUGUGAAGAAGGCCUUUUGGUUGUAAAGCACUUUAAGCGAGGAGGAGGCUACUAGUACUAAUACUACUGGAUAGUGGACGUUACUCGCAGAAUAAGCACCGGCUAACUCUGUGCCAGCAGCCGCGGUAAUACAGAGGGUGCGAGCGUUAAUCGGAUUUACUGGGCGUAAAGCGUGCGUAGGCGGCUUUUUAAGUCGGAUGUGAAAUCCCCGAGCUUAACUUGGGAAUUGCAUUCGAUACUGGGAAGCUAGAGUAUGGGAGAGGAUGGUAGAAUUCCAGGUGUAGCGGUGAAAUGCGUAGAGAUCUGGAGGAAUACCGAUGGCGAAGGCAGCCAUCUGGCCUAAUACUGACGCUGAGGUACGAAAGCAUGGGGAGCAAACAGGAUUAGAUACCCUGGUAGUCCAUGCCGUAAACGAUGUCUACUAGCCGUUGGGGCCUUUGAGGCUUUAGUGGCGCAGCUAACGCGAUAAGUAGACCGCCUGGGGAGUACGGUCGCAAGACUAAAACUCAAAUGAAUUGACGGGGGCCCGCACAAGCGGUGGAGCAUGUGGUUUAAUUCGAUGCAACGCGAAGAACCU